UCCACGCCGUAAACGAUGAGUGCUAAGUGUUAGAGGGUUUCCGCCCUUUAGUGCUGCAGCAAACGCAUUAAGCACUCCGCCUGGGGAGUACGGUCGCAAGACUGAAACUCAAAGGAAUUGACGGGGGCCCGCACAAGCGGUGGAGCAUGUGGUUUAAUUCGAAGCAACGCGAAGAACCUUACCAGGUCUUGACAUCCUCUGACAACCCUAGAGAUAGGGCUUCCCCUUCGGGGGCAGAGUGACAGGUGGUGCAUGGUUGUCGUCAGCUCGUGUCGUGAGAUGUUGGGUUAAGUCCCGCAACGAGCGCAACCCUUGAUCUUAGUUGCCAGCAUUCAGUUGGGCACUCUAAGGUGACUGCCGGUGACAAACCGGAGGAAGGUGGGGAUGACGUCAAAUCAUCAUGCCCCUUAUGACCUGGGCUACACACGUGCUACAAUGGGCAGAACAAAGGGCAGCGAAGCCGCGAGGCUAAGCCAAUCCCACAAAUCUGUUCUCAGUUCGGAUCGCAGUCUGCAACUCGACUGCGUGAAGCUGGAAUCGCUAGUAAUCGCGGAUCAGCAUGCCGCGGUUGAAUACGUUCCCCGGGCCUUGUACACACCGC
rnacentral:rRNA from 1 species